UCGAAAAGAAAGAGAUGAAGCCAGGUCCCAACGCUGUUUGCUUGUGGCAGUGGCGCUGAAGAAAGUAGAAAAGGCACCGUCUCCAUCGUUCUCCUCCCGCUCGCCCUUCACCUCCUCGUUAUUCUGCAUAUUCUAUUGCACGCACUCUCGCCUCCAUUUAAAGACCACAAAUUUCACUGGGGCUUUGGGCAGUUCUGCAGAUUCAACACCAUCGUUUUGACCCGUUUCAUGUCGGUUCCUUUUCGAGAACGAUAUUGGCUUUGAUUAUUAGACAGAUGCUCCGAUAGACUUUGAGUAUUUUUAAUUAUUAUUCGUCGAUUUUUUAAUGUAUAAUAAACAAUCGCCGUAUGAAGCUUCAUUGAAUUAUCGCCCAUUUAUUUGUCUGUGCGUUUCCUCAUUUCCAUGUUUGAUUAUACUAUUAUAUACUGUUAGUGUUAAUAUUUAAUUACACGCCCGUCUGAUUCUCUAUCUUUCGCUUCAGAGUUUAAACCUCUUUGUUGAAAUAACAGUGCUGUUUAAUGUUUCACGUUUAAUUGAGAGAGACAAAUAAGAUCGUCCAUUUUACGGAUAUAUCUUUGGGUAUCUUUUUUUUUUUUUUAAUAGCAGUUGUCUCAGUGGAGAUCGAGAAAUGUCAUCAUCGAAUUCUCCGUGCGCUGCGUGCAAGUGUCUGAGGCGGAAAUGCACGCAAGAAUGCGUGUUCGCACCGUACUUCCCGCCGGACAACCCCCAGAGGUUCGCUUACGUCCACAGGGUAUUCGGGGCAAGCAAUGUCGCUAAGCUUCUCAAUGAGCUCAACGCUGCGCAGAGAGACGACGCCGUCAAGUCUCUGGCUUACGAAGCCGAGGCCCGUCUCCGGGACCCAGUCUAUGGCUGUGUGGGUCUCAUCUCCAUCCUUCAGCACAGGCUCAGGCAGAUCCAAGUCGAACUCAAUAAUGCCAAGAAGGAGCUCGCCACGUAUAUUGGCCCUCAGGCUCUUCAGGCCAUGCCUCCCACCAUUCUGGCACCUUCUGGUAUGAUCCCACCGCAACACCCAAACAACCCAUAUUCUUCCACCACCGCCUAUCCCUAUAACAACAUGCCACCGCCUGCGCCUAUGACCAAUAUUCAGGCCGGUGGCUCUUCUCAUAGCGGCCAACUGGUGAUUCGCGACCCUUCCCAACAGCAUCAGAUCUUGGACGCUCAGCAAUUGGCUGCCGCCGUGGGGGCGAGAGAACAGCAAGAUAUGUUCCGAGGUUAUGAGCAGCAGCAACAGCAGCAAGAGUUUCUGAGGUUCAACGGUGGAUACGAUGUGGGUUCAGUUUCUGGGAGUGGAUUCAACAAUCACAUAUCUUCAACUGCUAGUCCCACCGAGAUGUCUCCUUCCUUGGCUCUUGGCUCCUUCGACAGCCCUUACGGCGGCCAGAUGCAACCGCCGCAAGCCGAACACCACCACCAUCAGCUUCAAGCCCAGCUGAUGCUUUCCCCUCAGCAGCCGCAACCACAGCAACAAAGCCAGCAGUCACAGCAACCCCAUCAUCAGCAACAGUCAGAAAGCGAGGAGGGUAGGAGUGGCAUCUGCCUUUCUUGUUGAUCUUUCCAUUUUUGCAGCACUAGCGCCAGCCCGCCUGUUUAGUGAAACAAUCUUCAACCUAGUUCUUGCCUGUCAGAUACAAAUAAAUAAAAAGAGCGAUCGAGAGGAGUAGAGCAUAUAUGUGAGAUUCAAUCCUCCGUCGUUUUUUGGGUAUAUAAAGAAGGCUCCCGCGGUAGACAGUAUAUCUCUUAAAAAAUGACACUUCAUUGAUCUGGGAGAUCAAACUGAGUACAGAUUCUUCUUUGAAGUAGUAAUUUUCUUUCAUCUUCUUUCGUUUUGUCCUCUCCCCCCCCCCCCAAAAAAAAAAAAAAAAAACCAUACUUAUCUUCGUUCCCGUCAUUUCUAGAUUCCCACUUCCAUCAUAGCCACUCGCACUUACUAAGUAGUUUGCUAAUGACGUUGUGAUGGAUGUACUUAGAAAUGUGUUAGUACUUAGUAAUUGAUACCUAAGAUUUACAAUUAACAGUUAAACCGUAUUAGCUUUAAUUUCUGCCCCUUCA